rnacentral:rRNA from 1 species
CACUAUGCCUAGCCCUAAACAUUGACAGUAAAUUCACUAACUGUCCGCCUGGGAACUACGAGCACCAGCUUAAAACCCAAAGGACUUGGCGGUGCUUUAGACCCACCUAGAGGAGCCUGUUCUAUAACCGAUACCCCCCGUUAAACCUCACCCUUCCUUGUUUUCCCCGCCUAUAUACCGCCGCCGUCAGCUUACCCCAUGAGGGGCCCACAGUAAGCAGAAUCAGCAAAGCCCAAAACGUCAGGUCGAGGUGUAGCGCAUGGAAGGGGAAGAAAUGGGCUACAUUCCCUCUAACAGGGAACUACGAAUGACAUUUUGAAACGCAUGUCUAAAGGAGGAUUUAGCAGUAAGUAAAAAAUAGAGUGUUUUACUGAAACUGGCCCUGAAGCACGCACAUACCGCCCGUCACUCUCCCCAAGCAACCAACCACACAAUAUUUAAUACACCCAAACUGCAAAGGGGAGGCAAGUCGUAA